CUGACACCGGCCGAUCCCACCGAGGCUCACUACGCAAACUUGGCUGACGCGGCGCCGACAGACGACGACGCCGACGACUAUGAAAAUUCGGAGUUCCUGGCGCAAAAGGCCCACCGGCCGGAGAACGAUUUGUUGUACGUGAACGAACAAGGCUCCCUUUUCUCUCGAGUCGAGGUUGCCACCAGGUGUCUGUCGUGAGAGGUCAUCACCCGUGCCACCGCAAAGGAUCAAAUUUCACUUUGUUGGUCUGAAAAUUAUUUAUUGACGACAAAUCAUGCAGCUUUGUUCAUCAACUGAGUCUUUACAUUCUAUUUAAUUCAUUGUCAUGACUGUAUGUUUUUUUUUUUUUUUUUUUGAUAAGUUGCAGUAUUCUAGCACACCAAAUAAAAAUAUUAUGAACGUUUGUUUCUUUUUUUCGGGCAGGCUGAAACAAAUUAAGUCAUUCGGUGCCAGCCAUUUUCAAAACUACCACGGGGUUUUAUUAUUUAGUUUUAAAUACAUAAAGACGUACCUGGUAUUGA